GCUCCCCACAGGGAUACACUAUGUCUAAUAAAACCUAACUCGAGCAAUUCUUGUAGCUGAAUCUUCAGCUCUUGUAGCUCCUUAGGCGCCAUUCUAUAGGGUGCCUUCGACACUGGUGCUGAUCCAGGUUCUAGGUCGAUAGUGAACUCCAACUAUCUUGUUGGUGGCAAUCCUGGUAAGACCUCGGGAAAUACAUCUCUAUGUUCCCUUACCACUGCUACAUCCUCAAAGUUUUUUUUUUUUUUUAUUCUCCUUCAUCAUUCAAGUAAACUAGGUAAGCUUGUGCUCCUUUCUUCUUUACCAAUUUCGACGCCUGAAGUGCCGAAACGAUUGGAACUCUCUUCUUUCUAUCAAUGCCGUGAAAACAUGCCUGUUCCUUCCCAGGUGGUUGGAAAGUUAUCUGUCUCUUCUUACAAUCAAUC
rnacentral:lncRNA from 1 species